GACGAACGCUGGCGGCGUGCCUAAUACAUGCAAGUAGAACGCUGAAGGAGGAGCUUGCUUCUCUGGAUGAGUUGCGAACGGGUGAGUAACGCGUAGGUAACCUGCCUGGUAGCGGGGGAUAACUAUUGGAAACGAUAGCUAAUACCGCAUAAGAGUAGAUGUUGCAUGACAUUUGCUUAAAAGGUGCAAUUGCAUCACUACCAGAUGGACCUGCGUUGUAUUAGCUAGUUGGUGAGGUAACGGCUCACCAAGGCAACGAUACAUAGCCGACCUGAGAGGGGGGUCGGCCCCCCUUGGACUGGGACACGGCCCCGACUCCUACCGGAGGCAGCAGUAGGGGAUCUUCGGCAAUUGACGGAAGUCUGACCGAGCAACGCCGCGUGAGUGGAGAAGGUUUUCGGAUCGUAAAGCUCUGUUGUAAGGGAAGAACGAGUGUGAGAGUGGAAAGUUCACACUGUGACGGUAUCUAACCAGAAAGGGACGGCUAACUACGUG
rnacentral:rRNA from 1 species